UACAGAGGUGGCAAGCGUUGUUCGGAAUUACUGGGCGUAAAGGGCGCGUAGGCGGUCUUGUAAGUCUCGUGUGAAAUCCCUCGGCUUAACUGAGGAACUGCACGGGAUACUGCAUGACUUGAGAUCGGGAGAGGGAAGCGGAAUUCCGGGUGUAGCGGUGAAAUGCGUAGAUAUCCGGAGGAACACCAGUGGCGAAGGCGGCUUCCUGGACCGACACUGACGCUGAGGCGCGAAAGCGUGGGGAGCAAACAGG
rnacentral:rRNA from 1 species